rnacentral:rRNA from 1 species
GGGAGCGGGGAUUGUUAUGGGGGAACCCUGAUCCAGCCAUGCCGCGUGUGUGAAGAAGGCCUUCGGGUUGUAAAGCACUUUCAGCGAGGAAGAAGGCCUGAGGGCUAAUACCCUUCAGGAAGGACAUCACUCGCAGAAGAAGCACCGGCUAACUCCGUGCCAGCAGCCGCGGUAAUACGGAGGGUGCGAGCGUUAAUCGGAAUUACUGGGCGUAAAGCGCGCGUAGGUGGCUUGAUAAGCCGGUUGUGAAAGCCCCGGGCUCAACCUGGGAACGGCAUCCGGAACUGUCAGGCUAGAGUGCAGGAGAGGAAGGUAGAAUUCCCGGUGUAGCGGUGAAAUGCGUAGAGAUCGGGAGGAAUACCAGUGGCGAAGGCGGCCUUCUGGACUGACACUGACACUGAGGUGCGAAAGCGUGGGUAGCAAACAGGAUUAGAUACCCUGGUAGUCCACGCCGUAAACGAUGUCGACUAGCCGUUGGGGUCCUUGAGACCUUUGUGGCGCAGUUAACGCGAUAAGUCGACCGCCUGGGGAGUACGGCCGCAAGGUUAAAACUCAAAUGAAUUGACGGGGGCCCGCACAAGCGGUGGAGCAUGUGGUUUAAUUCGAUGCAACGCGAAGAACCUUACCUACCCUUGACAUCGUGCGAACUUUCCAGAGAUGGAUUGGUGCCUUCGGGAACGCACAGACAGGUGCUGCAUGGCUGUCGUCAGCUCGUGUUGUGAAAUGUUGGGUUAAGUCCCGUAACGAGCGCAACCCUUGUCCCUAUUUGCCAGCGAUUCGGUCGGGAACUCUAGGGAGACUGCCGGUGACAAACCGGAGGAAGGUGGGGACGACGUCAAGUCAUCAUGGCCCUUACGGGUAGGGCUACACACGUGCUACAAUGGUCGGUACAAAGGGUUGCAAUACCGCGAGGUGGAGCUAAUCCCAUAAAGCCGGUCUCAGUCCGGAUCGGGAGUCUGC